GACGAACGCUGGCGGCGUGCCUAAUACAUGCAAGUCGAACGCAGUGGGGACGGGUUCGUAACACCUGGGUAACCUCCCAUCAGAGGGGAUAACACUUGGAAACAGGUGCUAAACCGAUACGGGUGGAUGGACUCGCUGUGCAUUAGGUAGUUGGUGGGGUAAAGGCUCACCAAGGCUACGAUGCAUAGCCGUCCUGAGAGGGUGAUCAGCCACACUGGGACUGAGACACGGCCCAGACUCCUACGGGAGGCAGCAGUAGGGAAUUGUCGGCAAUGGACGAAAGUCUGACCGAGCAACGCCGCGUGUAUGAAGAAGGUUUUCGGAUCGUAAAGCUCUGUUGGUAGGGAGGCGGUAUCCGACCAAAAAGCCACGGCUAACUACGUGCCAGCAGCCGCGGUAAUUC
rnacentral:rRNA from 1 species